rnacentral:rRNA from 1 species
UACAGAGGGUGCGAGCGUUAAUCGGAAUUACUGGGCGUAAAGGGUGCGUAGGUGGUGACUUAAGUUAGGUGUGAAAGCCCCGGGCUCAACCUGGGAAUUGCAUUCGAGACUGCAUGGCUAGGAUGCGGAAGAGGGAAGCGGAAUUUCCGGUGUAGCGGUGAAAUGCGUAGAUAUCGGAAGGAACACCAGUGGCGAAAGCGGCUUCCUGGUCCAGCAUCGACGUUCAGGCACGAAAGCGUGGGGAGCAAACAGG